rfam:Heligmosomoides polygyrus genome assembly, scaffold: HPBE_scaffold0000295
GCGCUGGUGAUGUAAGGCGUAGCAUUGCUGACCGGAAAGCGGAAGGUGCGGGCUCGAGUCCCGCCUAGCGCA